CCGCGUGUAGCCCAACCAGAACGAGGCGCCCCGCUCAAGACGGGGAGGUUGCAGGUGCAACUCCUGCCACGCGGA
rnacentral:tRNA from 1 species